rnacentral:rRNA from 1 species
GAUGAACGCUGGCGGCGUGCCUAACACAUGCAAGUCGAGCGAUUUACUUCGGUAAAGAGCGGCGGACGGGUGAGUAACGCGUGGGUAACCUGCCCUGUACACACGGAUAACAUACCGAAAGGUAUGCUAAUACGAGAUAAUAUGCUUUUAUCGCAUGGUAGAAGUAUCAAAGCUUUUGCGGUACAGGAUGGACCCGCGUCUGAUUAGCUAGUUGGUAAGGUAACGGCUUACCAAGGCUACGAUCAGUAGCCGACCUGAGAGGGUGAUCGGCCACAUUGGAACUGAGACACGGUCCAAACUCCUAUGGGAGGCAG